CUCCUGUAAUCGGCUCUUGAGAGAGCAGAGUAAAAAACCUGUGAUGCUUAUGGCAGCUCCACGCCCAGAAUAUUGCCCAUUCUGUGCACACAGAGGCGCAGAAAAGAAGAGCCACGCUGCGCUGGGUAGAUCCCAGAGCAGAAUUUUGCCAGUUGUUCCCUGUGGAGAGCAAAGUAUCAGCCACGGUGCACGGGGAGAGCAGAAUUGUGCCCGUUUCAUGCACAUGCUGCAGAAUAUUGGAGUAGAGAUGUGCAAGCUUCUCUAAGGUCCUGUCUUCAAUGAAGAAGUGAAGGGGCAAUCUCCUCCAACUGCCUCAGGAAUGUGGCCUUCCUCACAUGGAUGUUCUGAAGCCACUGCUGAUUUCUCCCACUUCUGCAUGAUGUAAUCCCACCACUCUUUGCUUGUGGUCCUACUCCACAGCUUCUGGUCAAUGUAGGGGGAUCCCACAGCUAUUGAACCUGCAUUAGCUGUCUCCACUUCUCCAUGUCUGCAUGCAUCCUGCAGAAUCCUCUUAGCAAGGUAUGUCACUGCCUUCUCAGAACAGACCAGUGCCAAAAUGGCCUCCACUGUGUGUCGUGACCUGCAUUGACCUAAUGUUUCUGAAAUAAGAAUUGCAUUAAUGCCAACUGCUGGAACAGGUCAUCCUUCUGAGUUGGAUCCAGGCCUUGCCACUGGCUGGAACAGAGGCUGAAACCAAGAAUCUAGACUGUGCCAAUCCAGAAAGAGUUUACUUUACUGCCCUGGUGGGCUAAGAGCACAUCCACACAGGGGCCCAGAAAGGACAGACAAGUUGUCCCAUGACACACGGCAAAAUAAUUCAGAUUGGCAGAGUUUAUUGUAGCGCUAGGAAUGAUGGUAUGUGCCCCCAGAAGUCCUAGCACCUUACAUAAAUACGGAUGCGCUCAAGUAUGGCUUUGCACUUUGGCUGUCCACACCCAAGUUAGGCUGACCCAGGUCUCCCAUAUGGGUGUCAAUCAUACAAGUUCCCUGAAGUUACAACAUACCCUAAUGGCCUACUCCAAAACCCAUGCAAACAAUUUAAAGAUCUCUCAUGGUUUUUAGUGGGCUGUGGAUCAUGCCCUAAAGUGUUGUAGGUCUGAUUCUAAUCUCAUAUUGGUAUAAAAAUCAGGAAUAACUUGGUCACCAGAGUUACACUAAUGAAAAACGGGUGUAAAAUCAGAAUCAGGCCUCUGUAUCUUUUGCUAAAAUGCUCUUUGACUUCUUAUAAUAGUGCUUAUUGAAUCAUAAAAGACAGUUACUCACCG
rnacentral:lncRNA from 1 species